AUUCAUGGAGGAGCUGCUGGUGGUUGGGUGGGCGCCCAGCCCCGUCAUGAUGCUGCUGCCUCCCCGGACCUGCGGGGAGCAGCUCAGAGGGCUCUCCUGCCUGCACCACCUGCCCUCUGCAGAGUGUUUUCUUCAUCCAUGCGUUCACUUCACCUCACUCAUCCUCGAAGGGUUGUGUGUUCACAGGGUGUCACACACAUAAUCACAGAAGAGUGUGGGACUUGAGAUGGUGCUAGGAAGAAACGCUCCUGAUGGCGGGUGGUCCCUGGGUGUGGCACAGUCCUUAAACUGGAACAGAUCUCCCUCAGGAGAAGGCGGCACCCUGCCAAGACCACCAGCACCAGGAGCCGAGGGUGGAAGCAGCUGGGUUCCCUCGGAGUCACAUGGCAUGUCACCUGGUGAAGACCACAGGAAAUUUCCAGGGCUGCCUUUCUGGCCCACGGCCGACCUCCGAGGAGCACGUCCUGUGCUGAUCCCUUUGCGCUGACCUCAAACACAGCAAGACUGUUCAGUCUUAUGUUUGUCAGGGACUGACCCUGACCCCACCCUCAGUCCCUUAUGUGACUUUCAGAGCCUUGUCCUGUCAGCUGCUGGACGUUCACAAUGGCCCCUCUGCUGCAUCCACUGGGACCUAGGGACUCUGAACCAUGGAGCGUAAGGAAAGCUACAAGCCCUAGGAGCCCUGACCCUGGGCCCUUCUGCUUCUGCCCCCAGCCUCAGAACACAAUGUAUGACCUCUGGACCCCUCCAGGAGAAGGUGAUGGCGGCACCACGAGGGUUCAUUUGUUUCUUGUUUAUGUCCAUCUGUGUGACGCAGGAACCUGCCAUUUCUAGCACGAUUGUCACCCAAAGUGCCUUCGUGUCUCUGUUUCAUCAAGGUUUCCUUUCAUGACACCCGCUCUUUUUAGAAGCCUGACCCUUGGUCCCAUAACUGCUGUGGCACCCAUUCUGAGAGUGUGGACGAGGCCACGGGCCACCACGACUCACCCACUGCCUGGGUGCCUGGCCGCCAGCCUCUGGGAGGGUGAGAGGCAUCUGUGCUCAGCGUGGGCACCCAGCCAGGGUGGGCGUGCCUGCGGCAGAAGCUCACCCCCUCCUCUGCUCAACUUUUCCCUGUCCUAGAACCCCC
rnacentral:lncRNA from 1 species